AGAGUUUGAUCCUGGCUCAGAUUGAACGCUGGCGGCGUGCUUAACACAUGCAAGUCGAUCGGUAACGCGGGGGCAACCCUGGCGACGAGAGGCGGACGGGUGAGGAACGCUUGGGAAUCUGCCCUUCAGCGGGGGACAACCCGGGGAAACUCGGGCUAAUACCGCAUAUGCUCUACGGAGGAAAGUGGGGGAUCGCAAGACCUCACGCUAUGGGAGCGGCCGAUGUCCGAUUAGCUAGUUGGUGGGGUAAUGGCUUACCAAGGCGACGAUCGGUAGCUGGUCUGAGAGGAUGAUCAGCCACACUGGGACUGAGACACGGCCCAGACUCCUACGGGAGGCAGCAGUGGGGAAUUUUGGACAAUGGGGGCAACCCUGAUCCAGCCAUGCCGCGUGCGGGAAGAAGGCCUUCGGGUUGUAAACCGCUUUUAGCCGGGAAGAAAAGGCGGGGGCUAAUACCCCCCGUUUUUGACGGUACCGGCGGAAUAAGCACCGGCUAACUACGUGCCAGCAGCCGCGGUAAUACGUAGGGUGCGAGCGUUAAUCGGAAUUACUGGGCGUAAAGCGUGCGCAGGCGGUUCGUUGUGUCUGUGGUGAAAGCCCCGGGCUUAACCUGGGAAUGGCCAUGGAAACUGGCGGACUUG
rnacentral:rRNA from 1 species